rnacentral:tRNA from 1 species
GCUGAGGUAGCCAAGCGGACUACGGCGCAGGCCUUGAGAGCCUGUGGAGCUUACGCUCCUCGUGGGUUCAAAUCCCACCCUCAGCG